UAAAAGUUUUUGGUUGCCCUGACAGAAAUAUGAAAAAUGAGAUCAGAUACAGUGGGUUGUGUUUUUUAAUUAUUUUUUCAAUUAAUAAGCAUUAAUUUUCUUCCCUUCCCCCUCCAAUUUAAAGGGAAAAAAACCCAUACCUUCAUAUCAAAUAUGAAGAGCUAAGCAAAACAAAUGACCACAUUGUCCAUGCCUCAAAAUAUGUGUGUCUUUCUGCAUCAUGAGUUCAUCACCUCUCUGUCAGAAGGUAGAUUCGUGACCCUCCCUCUACAAUAAUGGAGAGUCAUUACAUUGAUCAGAAUUCUUAAGUCUUUGAAAGAUGUCUCUCUUUACAAAUAUCCUUGUUAAUGUAUAAAUUGUUCUGGUUCUAUUAAUUUCACUCUGCAUCAGUUCACUCAAAUCUUCCCAGGUUUCUCUGAAGCUCUCUUUUCAUCAUUUCUUUUUAACACAGUAGUGUUCCAUUCCAUAAUUUGUUCAGCCAUUCCUCUGUGGAGGGACACCUCCUUAGUUUCCAGUUCUUUGUUACCACAAAAAGGAGCUACUAUAAAAUAUUUUUGUACAUAAGAGUCCUUUCCUUCUUUUUGAGAUCUUUGAAGUAUGUUUGUGAUGGCAUCAUUGCAUAACGAGAAUGGCACAGUUUAGUAAAUUUGGGGACAGAGUUCCAAAUUGCUCUCCAGAAUGACUGCAUCAAUUCAAAGCUUCACCAAAAGGUGGAAUUAAUAUACAUUUGGCCAAAUGAAAUGUGAGAUUAAAAAGUAGGACAGUGGGAGUCUUUGAUGUUAAAAGAUAUCUUUUCAAAGUUAGUGAGGCCGAGGAUUUUGGGAUUCAUAGAAUACUAAGAUAUUCCUAACCUGGUUCUCUCUGUCUUCAUUGUUUUUCCCAGAAACUGCAUAAGGCCACCUUCAUGGAGUUCCAAGGUGAAUUGGAGAAACAUAUGAAUACCUUAUCAUCUGGUGGCAGAGCAAGUCCAAGAUUCACAGGUAGGCUGAAUCUGCUUGGAAGAAGCACAUCUGGCAUAAGCCAAGAGCCAGGACCCUGUGUGGUCAUUUCCGUGCCUGGCCCCAUGGGAAGGCAGCACUAGCAGUUGAGAUGCCCUCAUCCACAGGCCCUACUAGGAUGUUUUAUGAAUGUCUCGACCAACAUUUUGUCCUCUGGCUUGUCCAUCUAGUUUGACAUUGGAGCUGCCUCAGUUCUUCUUUAGCCUUUCUAGGUGCCACUGGGCAGGGGAAAAAACCAACCCAUGCCACUCAGUCUGUGGACACCAUCUCCCAGCCAGAUGCUGCUGCUGCUGCUGCUAACCUAACUGAUGCUCUCUGGUUUGGUUGGUAGCAAAUGCUCUCCAGUAUAAAGAUUUCCAGCCUACAGUCACCAUCCUGAAAGCUUCCAUUCUCUAAGACAGGAGACUUGGGAGAAAGAUAUCCUCAGGGCAAUCACCUGCUCAGCUUUCCUGUUAGGCUGCAUUGGAGGUACCCAGAUGCACAAGCCACCUGUUCUCUGGGAAAGAAAAAGACUCUUCUAUUCCUUCAUGGGCCCUCUAAAGAAACCACGAUAACCACACAUUCACUCCUCAUCUUUGUGUUCCUCAGUGAGCUCUUUAAGGCUUUUACAAGGUCUGUGGAAAGGCUCUUCUGGGAUUUUAGAGCUCCCAUUUGAACUCUAAGUUAUAGCCCUCCUUAGUGCAAGAACCACAGUAAUAUGGCACCAUGGGCAUGGGGAUAACUUCCAAAAAAGCAGGCAUUCCUAAUUGUGUGUGUGUGUGAGUGAGUGAGAGAGAAAGAGAGAGGGGGGUGGGGAGGAGAGUGAGUGUUUGUAAUUGAUUGCUUUGGCAGCCUGUUGAAGAAGUACCUUCUCGGAAUGAUUUAUUUUUAUUUUGUUUUAUUUUAUGAUUUAAAAAAUCAAUCAAUAAACAUUUUUAUUCAACACCUACUAAAAAAGUG
ensembl:lncRNA